CUCUGGAGGCCUGUUCUCUGAAAGGUGCUAGAAAGAAAGCCUGUGAGUGUGGUCCGGACGCCACCAUCAUCAUGGUAGGAAAAGGUGCCAAAGGGAUGCUGGCCGUGGAAGAGGCAGGGGAUGCGUCAGUGUUGCCCGGAGCUGGCAGAGGAGUGAAUGAGCGGAGGAGACGCACGCUCUCCACUCCAAGUGUUCACCCCAAGAUGGCGGCGGCUCAGGGACCUGUGGACGCCUCCUCCCCAGAACAGAUGUCAUGGAGGAUGACCAGCCAUCCCAUACACACAGCCGUGGAAGGCGUGUCCCAUAGCCUGCAUCCUGCUGAGCCUGGGGAAGCUUGGGCACGGGGUGAGGCAAUCCCCACCCCGGACACCACCCAUGAGGCCCAUGAGGACAAGUCAGAGAAUGGUGCUAUGCCCAACGAGGCCAUCAAGGACCACAGCCUCCAACGGGGCAACUGGGGCAACCAGAUCGAGUUUGUACUGACGAGCGUGGGCUAUGCUGUGGGCCUGGGCAAUGUCUGGCGCUUCCCAUACCUCUGCUAUCGCAACGGGGGAGGAGCCUUCCUGAUCCCCUACUUCAUCAUGGUCACCUUCUGUGGGAUCCCUGUCUUCUUCAUGGAACUCUCCUUCGGCCAGUUUGCAAGUCAGGGCUGCCUGGGGGUCUGGAGGAUCAGCCCCAUGUUCAAAGGUGUGGGCUACGGCAUGAUCGUGGUGUCCACGUACAUCGGCAUAUACUACAACAUGGUGGUCAGCAUCGCCUUCUACUACUUCUUCUCGUCCCUGACGUCUGUGCUGCCCUGGACCUACUGCGAUAACCCUUGGAACACGCCCGACUGUGUGAGCGUGUUGGAUAACCCCAACAUCACUAAAAGCGUGCAGCCUCCUGCCCUGCUUGGCAACGUCUCUCAGGCACUCAACCUUACCCUCCAGAGGACAAGCCCCAGCGAGGAGUACUGGAAGUUCUACGUGCUGAAGAUGUCAGAUGACAUUGGAAACUUCGGGGAGGUGCAGGUGCACCUCCUCAGCUGCCUCUUUGUCUCCUGGGUGGUCGUCUUCCUCUGCCUCAUGCAAGGGAUCAGGACUUCAGGGAAAGUGGUGUACUUCACGGCCACAUUCCCCUACGUGGUGCUGACCAUCCUGUUCUUCCGUGGCGUGACCCUGGAAGGAGCCUCCACGGGCAUCAAGUACUACCUGACGCCACAGUGGGACAAGAUCCUGGAGGCCAAGGUCUGGGGGGACGCCGCCUCCCAGAUCUUCUACUCGCUGGGCUGUGCGUGGGGCGGGCUCAUCACCAUGGCUUCCUACAACAAGUUCCACAACAACUGUUACCGAGACAGUGUCGUCAUCAGCAUCACUAACUGUGCCACCAGCAUCUAUGCCGGCUUCGUCAUCUUCUCCAUCCUGGGCUUCAUGGCCAAUCACCUGGGUGAAGACGUGUCCAGUGUGGCAGAACACGGCCCAGGCCUGGCCUUCGUGGCGUACCCAGAGGCCCUCACACUGCUGCCCAUCGCCCCACUCUGGUCCCUGCUCUUCUUCUUCAUGCUCAUCUUGAUGGGGCUGGGCACUCAGUUUUGCCUCCUAGAGACGCUGGUCACAGCCCUUGUGGAUGAGGUCGGGAACGAGUGGAUCCUACAGCGAAAGAGUUAUGUGACCUUGGGCAUAGCUGUGGCUGGCUUCCUUCUGGGUAUUCCCCUCACCAGCCAGGCAGGCAUCUACUGGCUGCUGCUGAUGGACAACUACGCGGCCAGCUUCUCCCUGGUCAUCAUCUCCUGUAUCAUGUGUGUGUGCAUCAUGUACAUUUACGGGCACCAGAACUACUUCCAGGACGUCCAGAUGAUGCUGGGGUUCCCACCGCCCCUCUUCUUCCAGAUCUGCUGGCGCGUAAUCUCACCAGCUAUCAUCUUUGGCUCCCAGGAAACUGCCGCCCUGUGGGAAGACCCAGGGCACCACCCAGGCAGGGCAGGAGGAAGGAGGAAGCCUGGGUCCGGUGUCUCCAGGAAACUGAGGCAAAGCCCGCAGCAGCCUCUCUGCUCAGAAAGCCAGGCUGGAAUCCCCUCAGUUGAUUCUCAUCUUCCUGGUGAUCCAGUACGAGACAAUCACCUACAACGAAUACCAGUAUCCAAGCUGGGCCGAGGCCAUUGGCUUCCUUAUGGCUCUGUCCUCUGUUAUUUGCAUUCCAUUCUACGCCCUGUUCUACUUCCGGAUAACAGAUGGGGACACCUUCCUCCAGCGUUUGAAAAACUCAACAAAGCCAAGCGGAGACUGGGGUCCCGCCCUCCUGGAGCACCGAACAGGGCGCUACGCCCCCACCAUUCCACCCUCCCCUGAAGAUGGGCUUGAGUUCCAGCCGCUGGACCCAGACAAGGCCCAGAUUCCCAUGGUGGGCAGUAAUGACCCCAUCCGUCUGCAGGACUCCCAGAUGUG
rnacentral:lncRNA from 1 species